rnacentral:lncRNA from 1 species
CUCGGUCCAGUCCAACACCAGGUCCCGUCACUUUGUCCCCACAACAUUCAUAGCUUGAAGCUGACCAGCGUGGGGAAUGAGCAAAGGCUGCAAAGCAGGGCUUUUCUCCUCCUGGGAGAGCUGGGGGUGAGACAUCGAACAGCACCCCGCCUAUGCCCAGGCCCCACACCCAGUUCCACCGUUUACAGCAGACCACGAGCAUCGACCCCCGAGGCCGAAACCGGGGUCCCACCUUGCCUCUCCUGCUCCUCCCUGUGUCGACAUGGGUGGGUCACUGCACCACGCUGAGCCCUGUCAGCUCCUCUGUAAAGUGGGGAAAGUGUCAGGAUGGACCUUAUGGUGCAAAUCAACGAGAAAACACAUGUAGAGCCUGGAGCCCAGAAACGCCUUAGUGAGUGGCAGCCGUUCUUAGGAUGACCGAGCUGACAGGGUCCCCUGUCCCUUCGCCAGCCAGGUCUCCCCUCUCUGGACCUACAUGCCUUUGCUUCCGUCAUCCCUAAGGGGCAACAGACACUGAGAACAGAGCAGCACGCGCCAGAUGGGCCAGACAGGCCGGAGCAGGGAGAGGGAGAGGCGCUCCCCUUCCUGGCUCCAGAGAGGGCAUCUCUCCUCGCGUAACCCAAGAAUGAAUACCCCGGCCUUCUGGACCCCCCAAUCCCGUGCCCUCUGCUGCUCGACUUUCUUCAUGAUGCUUACCUUCCAUGCCGUCUCGGUUGGGUUAAUGCCCGGCUCCUGUCUCAUCUGGGAAUGUGGGCCCCUUGAGGGCAGAGAGUUUGCUGUGGCGUCCAGGCGGUGCCUGGCACAUCAUGAGGGCUCGAUAAACAACCGCCCCAGGCUGCAACUUGGGGAAGUUUUUUCCUUUUCCUUUUUUUUUUUUUAAGUUGAGUUUGUUAUCACUGCUCGGUGCCACUUGGUGGUGUGCUGGCGGCGUCUCCCUCCCUCCUCCCGCCCCUCCCCUCUCCCUCUCCCCUCCCUCCGCCUGCCUCUCUUCCCUCCCCAGUGGAUGGAGGCAGGAAGGCUCCAGGCGCGCUCUCCCCUCUGACCACCUACGGAAUGACCUCAGAGUGGGAGAAUGUGCCAAGGGCCCGAGGAAGCUCGCGUUCUCCCCACUGGAACCGAAUUCACAUCUGGAGCCGCGGCUCGGGCCUGGGGGCGCGCGGGUGGUUCCAGCCUUGCAAAGAGAGGAUAGGAAAGAAAGGCUGAAAAAAAAGAGAGGAAAAAAAAGCAAAGUGGC